rnacentral:rRNA from 1 species
CCUACGGGAUGCAGCAGUGGGGAAUAUUGCACAAUGGGGGAAACCCUGAUGCAGCCAUGCCGCGUGUGUGAAGAAGGCCUUCGGGUUGUAAAGCACUUUCAGUAGGGAGGAAGGUAGUGUAGUUAACACCUGCAUUAUUUGACGUUACCUACAGAAGAAGCACCGGCUAACUCCGUGCCAGCAGCCGCGGUAAUGCGGAGGGUGCGAGCGUUAAUCGGAAUUACUGGGCGUAAAGCGCAUGCAGGCGGCCUGUUAAGUCAGAUGUGAAAGCCCGGGGCUUAACCUCGGAAUUGCAUUUGAGACUGGCAGGCUAGAGUCUUGUAGAGGGGGGUAGAAUUUCAGGUGUAGCGGUGAAAUGCGUAGAGAUCUGAAGGAAUACCAGUGGCGAAGGCGGCCCCCUGGACAAAGUCUGACGCUCAGAUGCGAAAGCGUGGGGAGCAAACAGGAUUAGAUACCCGUGUAGUC